ensembl:lncRNA
CGCGCGGCAGCCACAGAGCACUAGGUUCAUAACCAGGAUUGGUCGCAAGUAGGGAGCUUUUGCCACUCCGCUGGGACCUUCGGACGCUGGCUGUGUUGCAAGCCCAGUUCUCCUAAGCGCUGUGCCGGGCGUCUUGGGGAUUUUUGACACAGAGUAAAUCCAUAGUAUAUGCCUCUCCGAACUGUCCUGAAAGAGAUCUUGAGAGAUCGUGAACUGAACCUGGCAAUUUCUUUCUGAAAUCAACUCAUGAAGUCUUUGUUUGAAUUCCAUUAUGAAUCUACAAUGUCAUGACUCCACAGAUAGCAAGAAUUGUCUAAACAUACAGCAGAAAAUAAAGGAAGACCUUAGCAUAUGUGAAACCACUGAAUGACUCUGCUAAACUUCCACUUGUCUAAAACAUUCCAUCAUUAUUUUUGUGUUAUUGGUUUUAGAAAAAAAUUGAUUCAUAAGCUUUAUUUCCAUUUAAAUUAUUAUUCAAUUUAAUAAGGAUUCAUUUAUUUCCUUUGUAGUUCUCUAUAUUCAAUUUCUUGUGAAGGUCAUUAAUCAUUAUUUUUCUGUGCAUUUUUCGUAUCCUUUUACUAUGCCAUCUGUCUAUUUUUUAGCAUUUCCCCCAUAGACAGUUUGUAGUGUUAUAUGCUGAGCUCAUUUGUGGCACAUUUGUUUCUUUUCAUUGUUCCUGUGCUUUGUAUUUAUUGCCCAAAGCAUAAUCGUGCUUUUGCUUUUGUUACUGAUUUAAGAUCUAGA